rnacentral:misc_RNA from 1 species
UGCUGCCGUCGAUUUCGACGGCUCGUCUGAAAUGCCUGAGUGUACCCCACUUUUGUGGCGUAUUCGGUGUGAUACAUCUUCACCGGAGUUGAUCCUUUGGGGUCGCGUCUGUAAUGUGUGGCUCUAUGCUUCCAACCGUCUCUCGAGACAAUCUCUGACAAUUUGACCUCAAAUCGGGUGGGACUACCCGCUGAACUUAA